UGAUGUUGAAAGACCCCCGGAGUGGGGAAACCCUCACUCAAGUCUCGGGAUGAUGCGACCCCCCAAGAACUCACGUGAGACC
rnacentral:pre_miRNA from 14 species